UUGAAAUAUGAAAAAAAUUGAAAUCUUUUGCAUGAUAGAACAAUAUCUCAGGAAGAAAUUUUGUUUUUACUGAAGUGACGAUGAAAGCAGUUAGAUUUUAUAUUUGCAUAAUAAUACUGACAACUAAGAUUUUCUAUUAUAGCAAGUUCUCUUCGCGCAGCAUUGUACCGUUAAUUUUUAACAUUAAUUACAGUCACACUUACGAAACGAACCGACUUUAUUUCAUAUGUUCUUGUUUCUAAAGAUUCCUAAGAUGGAGUACUGAAUCCAGACGCACAGUACAAUAACUGCGAAGCAUUCUAUACUGUUGUCAAGGCACAACUGAACAAGCACUCUCUAGUGUUUGCCGGUGAAGUUGACGCUCUAAAUGCUGAUAAAGAAAAAGAUAGCUACUACGUGCAGUUCAAAACAAAUAAGGAGGUCAAACCCAAACAGGCAGGAUAUGAUAAAACGUUGAACACGUUUAAGAGGUUUGCAGAUAUAAGAUACCAAAAUAAAAUGAACAUACAUAUACGCAUACUUUGGUAUUUAAUGAGAUGAAAUUUAAUACCCGGUAAUAUAUAACAUACACCUAGCACUAAUACCCUUUGUUAAUACCAAAAUGUUUUUGUUGGUUUAUGUUUGAAGGUCAUAGACAUAUGAAGGUCAAUGUCAUAUAUGUUAUGUCAGUUUGUAGGUCUUUCCAUAAGGUUCGAUUACUGCGAGUAUUAUCUAUUUUUAGACUAUGUGUACUUGCUUUAUGGCCAUAAAAUAUCCCUUUUUAACAUUUUAGGUUUAAAGGUGAAGAUCAUGUAAGAGUCAAUGUCAGUUUGUAGAUUGUUGCGUGUGAGUUUGAUUUGAAUUGGAUCAUUAAUGUGGACUGUAUGCAAAACGGUUACAUCUUGUUAACCGAACGGACGAACGGACGCACGGACAAACAGACGGACGGGGAACAAACAGACGGACAGUUCAGUCGCUAUAUGCACGAUGACAUGAUAAUCACAAAUCAAACGCAACAACAGUUUGUAUGUCACUUACGAUUAAAGACAAAAAUCUUGCUUACUAGAAAAUGUUGAUUUCCAAAUCGGAAUUAGUAGUACAACACAAGUCGAACAUUUGUUAUUAAAAUGUUAUUGUUCACAUUAAUUGGUUUUAGAUCCCCUGUGGUGUCUUGUCACUGACCGUAUCUCUCUGCAUUUCUUGAUAUGAUUGUUUUUCGUUUUUGUCUACUUAUUCUGCUUUUCGGCUAAGUGUUUUUUAUGACUAAGCCUACCGCCUAUACAUAUAUUUUCUUGGAACAAGGCUAUUUGUCAUUGAUUUUCUACAAUUCACAAAUGUACAAACAUUUAAAAUCUUGUACACGGAAAUCUGCAUUUUAAAAGUACAAGAAACCUAAUUUACAAAUGUAAAACAGUUUUGAUCCUUUUACAUAAUAUACUUGAUUUAGGUUCAAGUUAAGGAAAUGGUGGGCACAGAGUUAUAUCAUAGGUGUGCAAGAAAUAGUCUGUGGCUUUAGGGACGAUAACGGAGUUGUACACAGACUGGAAUUCUACAAUACUAGAGAAUUGCCAAGCCUUGCAGAGGAUUUAUCUAAUCCAUGGAAACCCAACGUGUGCUUCAAUUUCUUAGAUCAGUUCCUCUCGUUUAUCAAAUCCGCCAUAACAACAGACGACCACAA